CUCAGUUCGGAUUGAAGGCUGAAAUUCGCCUUCAUGAAGCCGGAAUUGCUAGUAAUGGCAGGUCAGCAUACUGCCGUGAAUACGUUCCCGGGCCUUGUACACACCGCCCGUCACACCAUGAGAGUUGGGAAUACCCGAAGCCUGUGAGCUAACUGUAAAGAGGCAGCAGUCGAAGGUAGAAUCAAUGAUUGGGGUGAAGUCGUAACAAGGUAUC
rnacentral:rRNA from 1 species